GCGGGAAGAGCUCAAAUUUGAAAUCUGGUGGCCUCAGGUCAUCCGAGUUGUAAUCUAUAGAAGUGUUUUCCGUGCUGGCUCAUGUACAAGUCCCUUGGAACAGGGCGUCAUAGAGGGUGAGAAUCCCGUCCUUGACAUGAACUACCAGUGCUCUGUGAUACAUUUUCAACGAGUCGAGUUGUUUGGGAAUGCAGCUCAAAAUGGGUGGUAAAUUCCAUCUAAAGCUAAAUAUUGGCGAGAGACCGAUAGCGAACAAGUACCGUGAGGGAAAGAUGAAAAGCACUUUGGAAAGAGAGUUAAACAGUAUGUGAAAUUGUUGAAAGGGAAACGAUUGAAGUCAGUCGUGCUCUUUGGAUUCAGCCGGUUCUGCCGGUGUACUUCCUUUGAGUGGGGUCAACAUCAGUUUUGAUCGCUGGAUAAAGGCUGGAGGAACGUAGUACCCUCGGGUAAACUUAUAGCCUCCUGUCACAUACAGUGGUUGGGACUGAGGAACGCAGCACGCCUUUAUGGCCGGGAUUCGUCCACGUACGUGCUUAGGAUGUUGACAUAAUGGCUUUAAACGACCCGUCUUGAAA
rnacentral:rRNA from 1 species